rnacentral:misc_RNA from 1 species
AGUCAUCAACCCCUCCCGUUUUGUGCGGGAGGAAGGUUGGAGAUGGGGGCCUGCGACCGCAAGGCCGCUCCCCUCAAAUGCUUCGGUUGGGCCUGUGGGUCGAACUCGGUUGGGCGUUGUACCAUCCUCGCUCUUUGUCCGAGAAGUUCCCCUUUGAUUGAGCCCUCCCACGACCGCCUUUCCAGAGGUGGUCAAUUUAAUUUGAA